rnacentral:rRNA from 1 species
AGUCGAGCGAACGGAUAAGGAGCUUGCUCCUUUGAAGUUAGCGGCGGACGGGUGAGUAACACGUGGGUAACCUACCUAUAAGACUGGAAUAACUUCGGGAAACCGGAGCUAAUGCCGGAUAACAUUUGGAACCGCAUGGUUCUAAAGUAAAAGAUGGUUUUGCUAUCACUUAUAGAUGGACCCGCGCCGUAUUAGCUAGUUGGUAAGGUAACGGCUUACCAAGGCAACGAUACGUAGCCGACCUGAGAGGGUGAUCGGCCACACUGGAACUGAGACACGGUCCAGACUCCUACGGGAGGCAGCAGUAGGGAAUCUUCCGCAAUGGACGAAAGUCUGACGGAGCAACGCCGCGUGAGUGAUGAAGGUUUUCGGAUCGUAAAACUCUGUUAUUAGGGAAGAACAAAUGUGUAAGUAACUGUGCACAUCUUGACGGUACCUAAUCAGAAAGCCACGGCUAACUACGUGCCAGCAGCCGCGGUAAUACGUNNNUGGCAAGCGUUAUCCGGAAUUAUUGGGCGUAAAGCGCGCGUAGGCGGUUUCUUA